rnacentral:lncRNA from 1 species
CCUAUUUCCAAACAUGCCCACCCUUUCAACAAUAACGGUUACAUCAAAUUCAAAGACUUUUAAAACCAAGUCAGUAUGAUUUUUAUGUGAAAAAACAUUAGAAUUUGAAAUGUAAACCUUUGCCUUGGUUGGUUUUUGACUUUAAAAUCCUUUUAUUUUCAGAUUAAUGUCUAAAUUUUGCAUUUUCUAAUUUCAGUUUAAGGCAAAAAAUAUUGGUUUAAUCGAUUUUUCGUAAAAUUUCCCCGGUAGAAUUUUUUUAAAAACAGAUAUGUCAAAGCUAUGAACUUUUCGAACAUUUUAAGGUAAAAUAAAAUGGGGGUCACCAGGCUUUUAAAAAAGUUACGAGCUUUUGUUUAACCCCUCUACCCCAUAAGGUCUGAUUUCAAUGCACUCCAUUAAUUACUUAAUUGUGAAUUCUUUAUUGAUGGUUUUAAAUAAAAUAAUGUUUGUAAUUAUAUCAAUAAACGAUGACUGAAUAUAAAUGUGGUUAUCGUAUUACUGUUUGUUAUCAAAAAGCGAAAUUUUGAUUAUUUUGGUGAAAUACGGUAAUUUUGUCUGGCGCGAGUUGCUUCCCUCUAAUUUGGCGCCAUUAUCGGACCAGAGGAAUUUCAAGGUCGCCAUUGCCGAGCAGCAUACUAUAUUGAUGAAUACGACCAUGUACAUGCAUAACAGACAUUGUGGCGAAUAUACAACGAUGAAGGUAGAGUUAUUACAUAAGAAAACAUAGAUUUCGAUAUAUUAGGCAGCCAAAUGUUAUCAGUAUAACGAAAAAUACAAACUUGGGGGUUGUCUCAAAAUACUCGCUACUGUUGAAAAUCACUGCGGCUGAAACCUUGCACGGCUCAAUUUCUGUUCCAUGUUUAAUGUUAUAGAUCGUUAUAGCUGGUAUCUUAUUUAUGUGUUUAUUUUACCCUUUACAGACAAGUUGUAAACAUGUCUGGCCAGUUUUGAAAAAUAUCCGUGUGCAAACGGCCGAAGAGGAGGGAUGAACAGGAAGAUAGGACUACAGGAUGACAUCUGACUAUGAAGCACCACAACUGUCAUUUUUACGCUACCGUUAGUGUCAAUGAAUUAGUCUUUUUUAAUCAUCAUUUGUAAUAUCUAAUUUCGUAGCCAAGUCAGGGUCAUAUGUAUGUGGGGUACCCCAUAACUUCCCUCGGAACAGUUUCUACUCCUUAGUAGCUUAGCCCUAACUAUAUUUCCCUUCCCUUUUACCCUAAAUUACCCUAAAAUUUCCCCCCUUUUUACCCUAAACCCCCCCUUUACUUCAAUACUUCCAUCUCCUUGCUCCCAGACAAAAUAAAAAUGACAAAAUAUAUUUCCAAGAUACCCCCUUUUCUCUGAUCCCUCAUUCCCCUGUCUCCUUACCCCUGUCCACCCCUCAAUUAAGGUCCUCAAGGGGUUUGAUUGACUUGUUUAUUUUCUUGAGAAUAUGAUAUAAUUGGCCUAAUUUGUAAAUGAUAAACCCUACACCUUAUUGAAGGAUUCGUCUUGAUCAAUCACAAUUUGUUUACCAAUUACCCCCCCCCCCCUAAUUCUGUUAGGUAUACAAAAAUGUCAAACAGUCUUAAGGUCUAGUAAUAGAAGUAUCAAGGUUAAACAUGUACAGAGUGUGGCCAUAAGUAUUUGUCACUUGAGAUUUUUAGCUGUUCAUGUAUAUUGUAUAUAAAACUAGAUUUUUUUUUUUUAAAUAUUUUGGAUUGAUUUUUAGCAUCCUGGUACCAAUAGUGCUAAGCAGUAUUAUCACAGGUUUAUUUUUUGGCUAUAUUUUUUUAUGUCUCAUUUUCAUUAUUUUCUGUUCAGAAAUUCGAUAUAUAUAUUCAACCAAAUUAAAUUAUAAAAAAAUAUUUUAUGUGUUCUCAAGGACAAACAAAAACACAUGAAAACGAACCUAUUAUCAAAUAAACACAUAUUAAUUAAUACCAUUCUACUUCUUUUAAGGUUACUCUUGCAUUGUCAGUCUUAUCAAACUUGCAUGUACCUCCCAAAUUUGGAUUCUGUUCUCCAACUUCAGUUUGCCUCUACCAAUGUUAUGAAACUAAUACACAAUUAAUGCAUAUAUAUGAUACUACAAACAAACAAACAUGAAGUUUGAAUUUUUGGUGGGGUCAAACCCAUACACCUUAUUCCAAGGAUUCGUCCUUGAAGUCAAUCACAAUUGUUUACCAUUAACCCCCCCCCCCCUUAAUUCUUGUUAGUAUAUCAAAAAUGUCUCAAGGUCUAGUAAUAGAAGUAUCAGGGUUAAACAUGUACAGAGUGUGGCCAUAAGUAUUUGUCACUUGAGAUUUUUAGCUGUUAAUGUAUAUUGUAUUUAAAACUACAUUUAAACAAAAAAAAAUAUUUUGGAUGAUGUUAAAGCAUCCUGGUACCAAAAGAAGCAAUAUUUAUCAAGGUUAUUUUUUUUUUAUAUUUUUUUGUGUCUCAUUUUCAUAUAUUAGAAAUUAGAUAUAUAUCAACAAAAUAAUUAUUAAAAAAUAUUUUAUGUGUUCUCAAGGACAAACAAAACACAUGAAAACGACUUAUUAUCAAAUAAACACAUACUAAUUAAUACCAUUCUAUUCUUUUAUAGGUUACUCUUGCAUUGUCAUCUUAGUUUAUCAAACUUGCAUGUACCUCCCCAAAUUUGGAUUCUGUUCUCAACUUCAGUUUGCCUCUACCAAUGUUAUGAACUAAUACACAAUUAAUGCAUAAUAUAUUGAUACUACAAACAAACAAACAUGAAGUUUUGAAUUUUUGGUGGGGUCGCUUUUACCUGUUCUAGAGUUAUGCCCUUUUACAAAUUAAAAAAAAUGCUGAAUUUUGGUCCUUUCUUUAACACAAGUUUGCUUCAUCCAAAUGUUCUGAAACUUAUAUGCAAUGCUGACUACAACAAACACUCAAUCAAGUACAAAUUGGGUGUGUCACUCUUCAUUUAUAAUAUGCCUAGCGGGCUGCUCGUCUUUGUCCAUGGACACAUUCCCAAUUAUGAACUAGUCUAAAUCUAUAUGCUUUUGAAUGUCAAGUAAUCUGUUGAUUUUCUGACAGAAUUACUCUGAUAUUUAAUUUCAGGCUGCAAGUACAUUUGUACAUGUACAUUGCAAAUGGAAGGAGUGAUCUUGGAAUGUUCAACUUUACUUGGAAACUAUUGGCAAAGUACUGACAGAAUUCAUGAGAAGCCAGUAUCAUAUUCUAGUCUUGCAACCGGAAACUAUGCGUAAAGUGCUGAAACUUAAGAACAACAUUCUACAUGUACUAUAUAUGCAAUAUGUGUGGCCACAAUCCACUUUAAGGAGCUAAGAUCAACUAUAAAUUGGAACUACAUGUAUAUGUUUAGUGCUGUCAAAAUUCCUUAAAAAAAUCCAAUCAAAAGGACCUACUUCACCAAUAAAUAUUGCUACCUGUCCCAAUGAUGAAUACAGAUCAUAUAUAUGAAUCUUAUAAAAAAAA